UAGGGAAUCUUCGGCAAUGGACGAAAGUCUGACCGAGCAACGCUACGUGAGUGAAGAAGGUUUUCGGAUCGUAAAACUCUGUUGUUAGAGAAGAACAAGGACGUUAGUAACUGAACGUCCCCUGACGGUAUCUAACCAGAAAGCCACGGCUAACUACGUGCCAGCAGCCGCGGUAAUACGUAGGUGGCAAGCGUUGUCCGGAUUUAUUGGGCGUAAAGCGAGCGCAGGCGGUUUCUUAAGUCUGAUGUGAAAGCCCCCGGCUCAACCGGGGAGGGUCAUUGGAAACUGGGAGACUUGAGUGCAGAAGAGGAGAGUGGAAUUCCAUGUGUAGCGGUGAAAUGCGUAGAUAUAUGGAGGAACACCAGUGGCGAAGGCGGCUCUCUGGUCUGUAACUGACGCUGAGGCUCGAAAGCGUGGGGAGCAAACAGG
rnacentral:rRNA from 1 species